GGGCGGAUAGUUCAGCGGAAGAACACUUGCCUUACACGCAAGGGGUCACAGGUUCGAACCCUGUUCCGCCCA
rnacentral:tRNA from 1 species